GGUUCGAUGCCACGUCGUCGGUAGCAGCAGCGAUGACCGUCGAUGUCAUGAUUGAACCAAUAACGAACGCUUUCGCAUCUUGAUAGGAAUCUGUGGAUCGAUCUUGACCGUUCGUCCAUGGAGCCGUUUUGUGCGAUUACAGUU